rnacentral:rRNA from 1 species
UACGAAGGGGGCUAGCGUUGUUCGGAAUUACUGGGCGUAAAGCGCGCGCAGGUGGUCUUUCAAGUCAGUGGUGAAAGCCCGGAGCUCAACUCCGGAAAUGCCAUUGAAACUGUAAGACUUGAGGAUGAGAGAGGUGAGUGGAAUUCCCAGUGUAGAGGUGAAAUUCGUAGAUAUUGGGAAGAACACCGGUGGCGAAGGCGGCUCACUGGCUCAUAUCUGACGCUCAGGCGCGGCAGCGUGGGGAUCAAACAGG